AGUAAUAUGCCUGAUAAAAGGAUUAUUUUGAUGAAAUACUUAUGUAAAAUUUUACUAUUACUA
rnacentral:tRNA from 1 species